rnacentral:lncRNA from 1 species
UGGGGUCAAAACCAGGCCGAAUAUGCCCUAUCGGUACGGUAUCGGUUUGGCUCGGUUCGGCACCCGUACCGUACCGUUACCGGAGCCGACCAGUAUGUCGGUACGAUUGGUAACCUUGCUUGCAAGUAAACUAAGAUUCUUAGAUACCGAAAAAUUAAUCCUCAAAAAUCUUUCCUCAAAAAGAAAAAUUCAGAAUACCACAUAACCCUAUACAGAAACACUUGUCUAACCUAUACAGAAUACCAAGAAACUAACCCUGAAACAUUCAAAAAACAAAUUUUAAUGAUUUAUGCCUUCUCUAACCCAACAUAUACCUAAAAUAGGAUUCUUUAUACUAAUUCCAUUUAAAAUGGGACUCCAAAACGUGUUUAAAA